rnacentral:lncRNA from 1 species
GCUUUUAAAGGAGUUAAUGCCAUUUGGUCCCUUAAGGAAGAGCAUUAUCCAUGUAACCAACUGUGGGAGUGGAGUAGUAAAAACCCCUAAAAAAACCGAUUGAAACUGGAGGAUCCAUCUUUCCCUCUCUCCUGAUUUGUUGACCAUGAUGAUAGAUGGGCUCUCCAGUGACUGAAGAUUUCUGUUUGUGUACUGAUUUGCCAACAUGUCUGAGGAAGAGCAGUCCCUACCACUUAAUGCAAACUCUUCCUCUUAUGGACUCUCAUUUGGUUCUCUAAGCCCUUCAAAAGAAAAGUACAUAGACCAAGAACCUAAAAAGUUGCUUCCUGAAAUCUUAGUGACAAAAGAAACAGAAGGACUCCCAAACGAAAAAACUCAGGAGUCAGAAUGUCUGAAGCAUGAUGAAAUCAUUCCUUUACAAUCUCCUCUCUCAGCCACUUCAACUUUCAAGGCCUUGCCUUCGUCCUCUUUCUCUUUCUCUCCAGUGAAAAAUACUGGUGUACAAUUGAAAAGUCCAGAACGAAAAACGUCAUCAUUCAUGUCAUUCAAGUCUGAAGAAGGAGACUUCAAAGAAAGAUUGAAAAGUGUCGUGAAAGUAAUAUCAGGGGUGUCAUUUCCCUCCACUUCUUUUUAUACUGAGGAUUCUUCCGGAUCUUCUAUUUAUACCCCAGUUUCAAUACCUGUUCCUGCUAAGCAACUUGAAUCCAGGCUAUUAGAGAUCGAAAAGUCUGUGUCUGUUCACCAUUCAACCCAGACCAAAUGGACGAUUGAUGAUGAAAGUCCUCGGAUAGAUGGCAUUGAAUCAGUGACCAUCAGUUAUGAAAAACUGCCAUCUGAAGGCAUCGAAAUCAGUCCGACACAAAAUCAGUUGCAGACAACAACUACUGAGAGUGUCCAGCCAUCCCCUUCUUUUCUUCAGAAAAAAGAGGAAAGCAACAGUCAAGAAACACCUAGAGAUAAACAGUCAAAACCCCAAGGCAGAAUCGUAAGUAUUAACAGUCAUAAGCAAGGUUUCUCUGCAUUCAUUCUACAGUGUUCCAAGGGCAAAGCCAAAAUGCUAAUGGAAAGUAAGCAGAAAUGGGAGGGGAGGGCAGUGAAAGGACAUCUGUCAUUCUUAAAUUUGAA